UUCUAAUUAGUAUAAAAAGUAUAUCUAACUUCCAAUUAGAAAGUUUAUUAAUAAAUUAGAAA
rnacentral:tRNA from 1 species